CGAUUAAUAAGAUUUAAAAUUUUGCACAAAUGACCACUCACCCAUCGUUUCACAUUGGGGAAAAAACAUAAGACUGCUCAAAUGAGAAGAAAAAUAAGCUCAUAAUCACAUAAAUGUCUGACAAUUGUCAAAGCCACAUUAUCAAUAAAAUAUCAGAAGCAAGAAGGCUAAAUGUCUUUCAAUCGUUCCUGAGAUCACCAAAACCAUCAAAGUAUCAAAUUUUGCUUUCGAACAAACAACUAGUCAUGGCAGGAUGUAUCUAUGCUGUUCAAGGCAAGUGAAGCAGAUACUCCUUAACAGAUAAUUAACUUGGCUAACGCACCAAAUAUCGCUCAGUAUGACUUCCCGCAGUGUAUCAAGCUUCCAGCACCCAAGAAAAGACCAAAAAUGGCAGCACUGCCUAGUGUUGUUUGUCCAAUAUGCCUGAUCUUCAAAAGUCCUGGCACCUUAUACCUGAUUGCCUCAUAUGUCCCAUAUACAGCCCCUGGACAGAAAACACAACAUUAGUAAUAUAAUCAUCAAGCAUAGAUAGCUACACUUCUUCAGUUAGAUAUAUAAACAGAAUGCAAAUAGAUUUAUAUUCAUGGACAAAAAAAUACCAGAAAUCUCAUUGAUUUAAUAAUGUUAUGAUGUGAAAAAUUUAAAUGCCAAACAAGAUCAAGAUCCACUAACCAUUAUGCAAACUACAUGAGCAUAUAUUUUCAAUGUUAAGGCGGGUUUUAUUGCAUGAUCAAUGUGGGAACUUUAUAGUCAGAAUUAAGAAAUGCAUUUUAUUAUUUCCAAAAUACUCUCUCCCUCAAAGCAGUAUAUUAAGCAGCGUAUAUCACUCAGUAUCACAUAACAUGUCAAGUAGUUUCACUUAAUUAGAGACAUGGCAGAAAAUGAUCGUCAUGUAGCAUCAGCUGUGAGAAACAUAAGCAUGCUUUAUAUCCAAAAAAGAGGUAAAUAAAUAUCAAUCCAUCACAGCCUGGCUUGAGUUUGCUGCAAAUAUUUGAACCUAUUUUGCAUUAUGAACUUCUUCUGUAUUUCCUUUGGCAAAGUCAAUUUUAUAUUUACUUUCUCGAAUCAUAAAACAAACAUAAAUAUUUUACAUCCGAGCUUUUUCCUUAUUAUAAACAUUAAAGUCAGAAGAAGGCCUCAUAUCCACACAGUGAUCAGAAAGACAAUACACAAUAGAUUCAAUCACUAACUUUAAACAAAACCCAUCAUUUCUAACUAGAAACACACAAAUGAUAACAUUACCUUGAUCCAAUCAUUAAAGACACUAAUAUCACUAAACAUAUUACAAAUUGAGCCUCUAAGAGUUUAAGUUCCAGCUCUGCAACCACAUGGGUGUACCAAACAGUUGAAAAUCUGACCAACCCAAGCUUCCCUUCUCUUCCACCAACUCUAAUCUUAUUUCCACCGUUCUCAAUCUAAUAGUUCCAAGAGCACUUCUAAGGACUUUGCAAGUAAAAACACUAUAGUUCAAUUAAUAACAAAUUAUAAUAACCCUAAUCAACACAUCUUCCAAACCCAAGAUACCAAUCACAUGCUUCUUAUGUCUUUAAAAAACAAUUGUCAUUUCUUUAAACCCAUAUUCUGGACACAGCACCAGCAAAAAAAGACUUCUAUUUUCCAAUUAGAUAAUAAGUUCCUACACUUUACUGCUCCUAAUAUGAUAUUUUCUUAAAACCAAAUUCCAAAAACCAAUGUGAUAAUUGACAUUCAAGAAUUAAAUUGUGUGCCCAAAACUAGGCAAGCAGUUCCCUAAAAGCCCGUCCAAAAUCAAGGCACAGUACAGAUGGGAGUCCUGAAUAUAAAUUUUAAUAACAAGAAGAAUCUCUAGAUAUGCCAUAAACCAAUUCACUGAAGAAAGAGAAAUACUGGCCAUCUGGCCCCCUACCCAAGAAAAGCAAUAUUGAGCAAAACCAGAACAGGGAGAUUCAACGGAUGAGGAGAAAAAGGAAAAAGACAGUCCAAACGGAGAAGUUGUUGA
rnacentral:misc_RNA from 1 species